GGCACUUUGGCGGAGUGGUUAACGCGAUGCCCUGCUAUUGAGAUUACUACGCUAGUCCCAAUGCGGUUAGGCAUUUCCCUCGGGAGCGCAGGUUCGAAUCCUGCAGGUGUCG